ACGGAAGGCAGCAGUGGGGAAUAUUGCACAAUGGGGGAAACCCUGAUGCAGCGACGCCGCGUGAGUGAUGAAGUAUUUCGGUAUGUAAAGCUCUAUCAGCAGGGAAGAUAAUGACGGUACCUGACUAAGAAGCACCGGCUAAAUACGUGCCAGCAGCCGCGGUAAUACGUAUGGUGCAAGCGUUAUCCGGAUUUACUGGGUGUAAAGGGAGCGUAGGCGGUACGGCAAGUCUGAAGUGAAAUCCCGGGGCUCAACCUCGGAACUGCUUUGGAAACUGUCGAACUAGAGUGUCGGAGAGGUAAGUGGAAUUUCUAGUGUAGCGGUGAAAUGCGUAGAUAUUAGGAGGAACACCAGUGGCGAAGGCGGCUUACUGGACGAUUACUGACGCUGAGGCUCGAAAGCGUGGGGAGCAAACAGGAUUAGAUACCCUGGUA
rnacentral:rRNA from 1 species